UUCAGAACUUCAUCGUGCCCUAAGUGUAUCACACCCCAAGAUACCAACGCUAUAUCUGUUGCCGAAAGUGCAUAAACACCCUACCAGACCACCUGGGCGACCAAUCAUCUCAGAUGUCACCUUAACACGAGAUCAGGAGGGAUUCAUCCAAACAAAUGUAUAUCGAAAACCAACCGCCACUAAUACUUACCUCCACGCUACUUCCGCACAUCCGAAACAUAUGAAAGAGGCAGUCCCUGUUGGACAAUAUCUACGAAUCAGAAGAAUUUGCUCCACCGACACAAUGUUUGAAGAACAAGCAAGGACUCUACGAAAAAGGUUUAAAGAGAGAGGGUAUAGCCAACGAUGUUUGAAAAAGAGAGACGCCACGACAACAAUUACUCCAAAAGAAACCUCCACGUAUUUCAGAUGAUACUAUAUGUUAUAUAUCAGAUUACAAUGCACACUGGGAAGAGAUGAGACGAGCAAUUGAAAAACAUCUACCCAUUCUGAAACGGACUCUGUCCUUCGUCACUACGUUCCAGAUAGACUACAGAUGACAGCAAGACGUGCCCGCAAUUUGAAAGAUAUCCCCGUGAAAAAUUAUUUUACAUUGAUUGGUCUUUCUUUGUUCCCCUCCUCAUCUCCACGCCUGAAGAAUCACAUGACGGAUUGUAACAUCUGGACACGAUCACACACUCGGACAUAUGUAUGAGACUGAUAUAGAGAUCCUCUCGAUUAAUUUCAAAGUAUUGUUUGCGGGACGGAAUCAUGUGCAAUUAUAAAUUUAUACACAUACACUUUUUA